CCUACGGGUGGCAGCAGUGAGGAAUAUUGGUCAAUGGGCUUACGCCUGAACCAGCCAUGCCGCGUGCAGGAAGACGGCUCUAUGAGUUGUAAACUGCUUUUGUACGGGGGUAAACGCAGAUACGCGUAUCUGUCUGAAAGUAUCGUACGAAUAAGGAUCGGCUAACUCCGUGCCAGCAGCAGCGGUAAUACGGAGGAUUCAAGCGUUAUCCGGAUUUAUUGGGUUUAAAGGGUGCGUAGGCGGUCGGAUAAGUUAGAGGUGAAAUCCCGAGGCUCAACUUCGGAAUUGCCUUUGAAACUGUGCGGCUAGAGAGCAGUUGCGGUAGGCGGAAUGUAUGGUGUAGCGGUGAAAUGCUUAGAGAUUAGACAGAACACCGAUUGCGAAGGCAGCUUACCAAGCUACUUCUGACGUUGAGGCACGAAAGCGUGGGGAGCAAACAGGAUUAGAUACCCCAGUAGUC
rnacentral:rRNA from 1 species